rnacentral:rRNA from 1 species
CACCAUGAGAGCUGAUUGUACCAGAAGUCGCUAGGCUAACCUUGAGUUCGUCUUGGAGGGGGCAGGCGCCUAAGGUAUGGUUGGUGAUUGGGGUG